rnacentral:rRNA from 1 species
UACGUAGGUGGCAAGCGUUGUCCGGAAUUAUUGGGCGUAAAGCGCGCGCAGGCGGUCCUUUAAGUCUGAUGUGAAAGCCCACGGCUCAACCGUGGAGGGUCAUUGGAAACUGGGGGACUUGAGUGCAGGAGAGAAGAGUGGAAUUCCACGUGUAGCGGUGAAAUGCGUAGAGAUGUGGAGGAACACCAGUGGCGAAGGCGACAUCCUGGACCGGCAUUGACGCUGAGGCGCGAAAGCCAGGGGAGCAAACGGG